rnacentral:other from 1 species
CCUGCCCUACCCGGUGCGUGACGGGUCUUUUUAAACCCACAUUUCGUUAUACGGGAUGUCCUCCUCGCGGGACGGUUUGCAGGCCUCUCGGCUACGGCUGAAUGUUGGAAGCAGUGAAAUUCCGCGGAGACAACCCACCUGCUGUUCGGUGCAGGUUAUAACUGGAUUCGCACGGCCGGCGUGGGGCUUUU